AAAGAAGGAGGAGGGUGCAAAACCAAAAGAAAUCAAAAGAAAUCAAAUCAAAAGAAAAAAAAAACAAACAAAAGAAAGAUAGCACCCUCAAAGUCCCAAGUUGGCUGAUGCUGAAUUCGAUCGAAAAAGAGAUCAACUGCCAUGGUCAGUUAUGUCAGCAGAGAGUGAAGAAAGCAUUCGACGAGAAGAUCAAGCCUCGUGUGUUCCGAG
rnacentral:lncRNA from 1 species